UACGUAGGGUGCAAGCGUUAAUCGGAAUUACUGGGCGUAAAGCGUGCGCAGGCGGUUUUGUAAGACUGUCGUGAAAUCCCCGGGCUCAACCUGGGAAUGGCGAUGGAUACUGGCGAGCUAGAGUGUGUCAGAGGAUGGUGGAAUUCCCGGUGUAGUGGUGAAAUGCGUAGAUAUCGGGAGGAAUACCAGUGGCGAAGGCGGCUGCCUGGCCUGUUCUUGACGCUGAGGCGCGAAAGCUGGGGGAGCAAACGGG
rnacentral:rRNA from 1 species